GACGAACGCUGGCGGCGUGCUUAACACAUGCAAGUCGAACGGAAAGGCCCUGCUUUUGUGGGGUGCUCGAGUUGCGAACUGGUGAGUAACACGUGAGUAACCUGCCCUUGACUUUGGGAUAACUUCAGGAAACUUGGGCUAAUACCGGAUAGGAGCUCCUGCUGCAUGGUGGGGGUUGGAAAGUUUCGGCGGUUGGGGAUGGACUCGCGGCUUAUCAGCUUGUUGGUGGGGUAGUGGCUUACCAAGGCUUUGACGGGUAGCCGGCCUGAGAGGGUGACCGGCCACAUUGGGACUGAGAUACGGCCCAGACUCCUACGGGAGGCAGCAGUGGGGAAUAUAGCACAAUGGGCGGAAGCCUGAUGCAGCAACGCCGCGUGCGGGAUGACGGCAUUCGGGUUGUAAACCGAUUUCGCCUGUGACGAAGCGUGAGUGACGGUAAUGGGUAAAGAAGCACCGGCUAACUACGUG
rnacentral:rRNA from 1 species